CCCGAAUCCGGUUGAUCCUGCCGGACCCGACCGCUAUCGGGGUGGGGCUAAGCCAUGCGAGUCGUGCGCCCCAGGCCAUGGUGGGGCGCGGCGCACGGCUCAGUAACACGUGGCCAACCUACCCUCAGGACGGGGAUAACCCCGGGAAACUGGGGCUAAUACCCGAUAGGCAAUGGCUCCUGGAAUGGGCCAUUGCCGAAAGGGGGUUGAGGCCAUGCUCCUCAACCCCGCCUGAGGACGGGGCUGCGGCCCAUCAGGUAGUUGGCGGGGUAACGGCCCGCCAAGCCGAUAACGGGUACGGGCCGUGAGAGCGGGAGCCCGGAGAUGGGCCCUGAGACAAGGGCCCAGGCCCUACGGGGCGCAGCAGGCGCGAAACCUCCGCUAUGCGCGAAAG
rnacentral:rRNA from 1 species